rnacentral:tRNA from 2 species
GCCAGCAUAGCUCAGUGGUAGAGCAUUCGCUUUGUAAGCGACAGGUCGGGGGUUCGAAUCCUCCUGCUGGCU